UGGGAAGUAUUGCGCAAUGGGCGAAAGCCUGACGCAGCAACACCGCGUGAGGGAUGACGGCCUUCGGGUUGUAAACCUCUUUCAGCUCCGACGAAGCGAAAGUGACGGUAGGAGCAGAAGAAGCACCGGCUAACUACGUGCCAGCAGCCGCGGUAAUACGUAGGGUGCAAGCGUUGUCCGGAAUUAUUGGGCGUAAAGAGCUCGUAGGCGGUCCGUUGCGUCUGCCGUGAAAACCCGGAGCUCAACUCCGGGCCUGCGGUGGAUACGGGCGGACUAGAGUCCGGUAGGGGAGACUGGAAUUCCUGGUGUAGCGGUGGAAUGCGCAGAUAUCAGGAGGAACACCGGUGGCGAAGGCGGGUCUCUGGGCCGGAACUGACGCUGAGGAGCGAAAGCGUGGGGAGCGAACAGGAUUAGAUACCCUGGUAGUCCACGCCGUAAACGGUGGGCGCUAGGUGU
rnacentral:rRNA from 1 species